rnacentral:rRNA from 1 species
UACGUAGGGUCCGAGCGUUGUCCGGAAUUAUUGGGCGUAAAGGGCUCGUAGGCGGUCUGUUGCGUCGGGAGUGAAAAUUCGCAGCUUAACUGUGAACUUGCUUCCGAUACGGGCAGACUUGAGGUAUUCAGGGGAGAACGGAAUUCCUGGUGUAGCGGUGAAAUGCGCAGAUAUCAGGAGGAACACCGGUGGCGAAGGCGGUUCUCUGGGAAUAUCCUGACGCUGAGGAGCGAAAGUGUGGGGAGCGAACAGG